rnacentral:rRNA from 1 species
AACGAACGCUGGCGGCAGGCUUAACACAUGCAAGUCGAACGCUCGUAGCAAUACGGGAGUGGCGGACGGGGUGAGUAACGCGUGGGAACGUGCCCUGAGGUACGGAAUAACUGAGGGAAACUUCAGCUAAUACCGUAUGAGCCCCGAGAGGGGGAAAGAUUUAUCGCCUUGGGAGCGGCCCGCGUCGGAUUAGCUAGUUGGUGGGGUAACGGCCUACCAAGGCUUCGAUCCGUAGCUGGUCUGAGAGGACGAUCAGCCACACUGGGACUGAGACACGGCCCAGACUCCUACGGGAGGCAGCAGUGGGGAAUCUUGCGCAAUGGGGGCAACCCUGACGCAGCCAUGCCGCGUGAACGAUGAAGGCCUUAGGGUUGUAAAGUUCUUUUACCCGUGACGAUGAUGACGGUAACGGGGAAUAAGCUCCGGCUAACUUCGUGCCAGCAGCCGCGUAA